rnacentral:rRNA from 1 species
CGAGGAUCUUCGUCAAUGGGGGCAACCCUGAACGAGCGAUGCCGCGUGCGCGAUGAAGGCCUUCGGGUUGUAAAGCGCGAAAGUGGGGAGAAAAGCCCGCAAGGGCUUGAUCUAUCCACAGUAAGCUCGGGCUAAGUUCGUGCCAGCAGCCGCGGUAAGACGAACCGAGCGAACGUUGUUCGGAAUCACUGGGCUUAAAGGGCGCGUAGGCGGGCUGUCAAGUCUGGGGUGAAAUCCCGCGGCUCAACCGUGGAACUGCCUCAGAUACUGACGGUCUCGAGGGAGGUAGGGGCGAGCGGAACUGAUGGUGGAGCGGUGAAAUGCGUUGAUAUCAUCAGGAACUCCGGUGGCGAAGGCGGCUCGCUGGACCUCUUCUGACGCUGAGGCGCGAAAGCCAGGGGAGCAAAC